GAGCUGUUUUGAGCAUAAAUGCUCAAGUGAUUGCGAUGGCGACGAGGAGAGGCCUUUUCAGACUGUCUUUGUUCUGAGCUGGCUGGAGGCUCCAGGCCUAGGAGUGCCAGUAAGUUCUGGACAUAUGGUUGGGCACAGAGAGCAGGGACUGAAUUUACCAACCACCAACUGCCAUAACGGUCUUGUCACUGGAAAAUGGCCAAACAGUUGAGCCAACUGCCAAUGCCACCAUGUUGUCAGGAGACAAUGGGCCAGAGGAAAAUUACAGGCUCGUGGAAGACCACUAGCUCCCUCUUGUGGUCGAGCACAAUGGCUAAAUUUCUGCCACUUUCCAGCAGAAAGACAUCCAUCCCUGAAUUCCGUGAAUGAAGGAUGAGGAUGCUUCCUAAAGCAAUCCUAUCAGCCUAUUUGAAUAGCAGCCUUUAUCUAUACCUUUCCAGAGAGCUAAUAUUAAAACCCUUCUAAUUUCAAUGACAAAAAUCAUAUUACUCAAACUCAAAGCUCUCCAAUGAUCCUCCACUGCCUUUGAAAUCAACUUCCUAAAUCAUUAUCAUGGCUUGUAAGCCGCCGACGGCAUAUACCCUGCCCACUCUCCAGCUUCAUCAGUUGCCCCUCUCCCUCUCGCUUUACAUUUGUUGAACUCUCUCCCUUCAGCAUUUUCACACUUGAUUGCUGCCCCUGUUUGGGAUAAUUGUGACUUCCCUUCCCCACUUUCACCCCAUCUAAUCUGUCUAAGUCUUACAUAUCCUUUAGGAUUCAAGUGAAACACCAUCACCUUCCGGAGGCCUUCCUUGAUCCCCUAAACUAGGUCUUCCUGCUUGAUCCCCCUGGGCCUCCUGAAUUUCCUUAGCUAACCACUCAUAACACUCCAUCUUAAUUGCUUAUUUAAUGCUUAUCUUCCCCUUUUAAAAAUGUUCUCUGUAGCUUGAACCCGGAAUGUGGAAGUAGCAGUGAGCCAAGAUCAUGCCACUGCACUCCAGCCCGGGCAACAGAGCGAGACUCCAUCUCAAAAAAAAAAAAAAAAAAAAAAAAAGUUCUCUAUGUGAGCAGAUACUCUGUCAUUCUGUCAUUUACCUCCUUAUCCACACCUAACACAAGUACUAUACAUAUUUAUUGAGAGAAUACAUUUGAAGAAGUAGCAAAUUCUAGAAUGGAAAAAAAAGAAGAGACAUUUAUUAUAUGCCAAAUAUGGGCCAGGUUUUAGGCUAGGUACUCACACAUCUACCAAUUCAUGUAAUCUUCAUUUAAUACAACGAGGGAAAAUGUUAUUAUCUUCAAUUUUAUAGUGAGGAAAGUUAAGUUCAGAGAGGUUUGUGUAGCUUGGCCAAACCUAUAAGAAAGAACAUGUCAAAUCCAGAAUUUGCAACCAAGUGUAAUUCCAAAGCCCCUGGACUUUCUACUGUAUGAUGUUUCCUCUUAGGUAGCCCAAGUUAACCAGUCAAUUCUUGCUUAUUCAUGUCAAUGAACGUAUCACAUGGCAUGACUAUUCUCAAAUAAUGAAUAAUCCUAAAAUCACUUAUAUCAGCUUUUAAGUGGUGUUUUUAUCCUUACGUUUUAAAAAGGACUUCUUUUAAUGUUCUCAGUAUCUCCAAAGAAAAUAACUAAGUCAUCCUGGAAAGCCCUUACUAUGGAGCUUUCUCAGCCAGAAGGCAAUAGAGCAUCACGAGGCAGAGAAAUGAAAGAGCACUGGGUAGGGAGCGCACAAGAACCCUGUUUUUU
rnacentral:lncRNA from 1 species